GCCGUGACCGCGCCUCCGUGGCCCGCGCGGAGCCAGAUGCCGCCCUCUCCGCCGGUCCCUCCCCUGGCGGCCUGGCGCCUCCUUCCCUCCCCGCCGCGGUGACUCACGGAGAGGGAGGCGGAGGCUGAGGCGGCCGCUCCCGCUGCUGCCGCUGCCGCUGCUGCCGUUGCGGCUGCUCGGGCUGUGCGCGUCCCGGAACAGGCCGCCGCGCGCCGCUCUCGGACCCGCAGCCCCCGCCCGCCUGGCCGGGUCGGGCGGCCCAGGGUGGCAUCUUCCUAUUUCUCCCCGGCCACAGCCCACCUGUCACAGUUGAGCAUCUGGUUGCCUCAAGUUGAUUUCCAGAAGCAGCAGUCCCCAGAGCUGGCCAGGGGAUGAACCGCGAGGGGGCCCCCGGGAAGAGUCCGGAGGAGAUGUACAUUCAGCAGAAGGUCCGAGUGCUGCUCAUGCUGAGGAAGAUGGGCUCCAACCUGACGGCCAACGAGGAGGAGUUCCUUCGCACCUACGCGGGGGUGGUCAACAGCCAGCUCAGCCAGCUGCCCCAGCACUCCAUCGACCAGGGUGCGGAGGACGUAGUGAUGGCGUUUUCCAGGUCGGAGACCGAGGACCGGAGGCAGUAGCUUCAACCCCCGUGGAACACCCUGGAAGCUGGCCAAGGCCAGGGGAUCUGUGUGGACCUCACCGCUGAGUGGCAGAGGGUCAUCUCCCCUCCCCCUAGCCCCCCACCCCACCCCACUCUGCCCCGCCCCACGGCCACUCAGCAUCCUCGGGGGAGACACCAGUGGUGCGGUCACGAUUGGCUUAAAGGGACGGACUCAAGAUUGGCUGCAGGAAGAAACCUUUUUAUUUUUAAAUCUUGACCAAUGGAAACCUUUUUAUUUUUAUUUUCUGACUCUUAUUUUAAAAAAAGAAAAAAAAAUUUGCGCCUCGGGUGUAUGGCUUCCCAGGAAGCUCUCCGAGCUCUGGUGCUUUAUUUGGGUCACUCUUUAGGAACAUGAGGAGGUCCGAUUGGCGGCUUAAACUGGAAAAGGAUUUGAUUGGCUGGCUAAUGGGAACCUUUUUUUUUCUUUGAUUGGCUGCAGGUGUUAUGCUGAUCACAACAGCUCCUCUUUUGAAUGUCGAAAACAGGGUUUGGGACAUUGGUUGUUAUAUUUGACUUGAAAAAAAGAAAGAAAGAAACCAAGUGCGCUUUGCAAUAUUUAUUACACAAAGAGCCUGCUGCUG
rnacentral:lncRNA from 1 species